GAUGAACGCUAGCGGCAGGCUUAAUACAUGCAAGUCGAGGGGCAGCACAGGUAGCAAUACUGGGUGGCGACCGGCAAACGGGUGCGGAACACGUACACAACUUACCUUAGAGUGGGGGAUAGCCCAGGGAAACUUGGAUAAUACCCCAUAAAACAGGGGGCCCGCAUGGGCAUAUUGUUAAAGAUUUAUCGCUUUAAGAUGGGUGUGCGUAUGAUUAGGUAGUUGGUAGGGUAAAGGCCUACCAAGCCGACGAUCAUUAACUGGUGUGAGAGCACGACCAGUCACACGGGAACUGAGACACGGGCCCGACUCCUACGGGAGGCAGCAGUAAGGAAUAUUGGUCAAUGGACGCAAGUCUGAACCAGCCAUGCCGCGUGGAGGAUGAAGGUCCUCUGGAUUGUAAACUUCUUUUAUCUGGGAAGAAACCCAUAUUUUCUAGUGUGGUUGACGGUACCAGAUGAAUAAGCACCGGCUAACUCCGUGCCAGCAGCCGCAGUAAGAC
rnacentral:rRNA from 1 species